rnacentral:rRNA from 1 species
UUUUUUUGAUUUAAUUUAUUUAUAUGUCUCGAUGUGAACAGCGGAGGAUCAUUACCGAGUUUACAACUUCCCAAACCCUUAUGUGAACCAUACCCUAUCGAUUGCAUUCGGCGGGAGAGCCCCGGCCCCCUCGGGCCCGGAGUCAGGCGCCCGCCGGAGACCCCAAACUCUUUGUUUUACUUGAGUAUCGUCUGAGUGGUAUAAACAAAUACAUCAAAACUUUUAACAACGGAUCUCUUGGCUCUGGCAUCGAUGAAGAACGCAGCGAAAUGCGAUAAGUAAUGUGAAUUGCAGAAUUCAGUGAAUCAUCGAAUCUUUGAACGCACAUUGCGCCCGUCAGCAUUCUGGCGGGCAUGCCUGUUCGAGCGUCAUUUCAACCCUCAGGACCCCCCUUUCGCGGGGGAGGGACCUGGCGUUGGGGAUCGGCCCGCCCCCCGCGGCGGCGCCGUCCCCGAAAUCUAGUGGCGGUCUCGCUGCAGCCUCCCCUGCGUAGUAGUUACAACCUCGCAUCGGAGCGCGGCGCGGCCACGCCGUAAAACCCCCCGACUUUCUGAACGUUGACCUCGGAUCAGGUAGGAAUACCCGCUGAACUUAAGCAUAUCAAUAAGCGGAGGAAAAAGAAACCAACAGGGAUUGCCUCAGUAACGGCGAGUGAAGCGGCAACAGCUCAAAUUUGAAAUCUGGCCCCAGGCCCGAGUUGUAAUUUGCAGAGGAUGCUUUUGGCGCGGUGCCUUCCGAGUUCCCUGGAACGGGACGCCAUAGAGGGUGAGAGCCCCGUCUGGUUGGACACCAAGCCUCUGUAAAGCUCCUUCGACGAGUCGAGUAGUUUGGGAAUGCUGCUCAAAAUGGGAAGGUAUAUGUCUUCUAAAGCUAAAUACCGGCCAGAGACCGAUAGCGCACAAGUAGAGUGAUCGAAAGAUGAAAAGCCACUUUGGAAAAGAGAGUUAAAUAGCACGUGAAAUUGUUAAAAGGGAAGCGUUUAUGACCAGACUUGGGCCGGUUAAUCAUCCCAGCGUUCUCGCUGGGUGCACUUUGCCGGUCCAGGCCAGCAUCAGUUCGUCGCGGGGGAUAAAGGCGUCCGGGAAUGUGGCUCCUCGGAGUGUUAUAGCCCUUCGCGCAAUACCCUGCGGUGGAACUGAGGUUCCGCGCUCGAAGGAUGCGCGAGGAAUGGUUACAACUUUAAAAGGGAAAAAA